rnacentral:rRNA from 1 species
CAGCAGCCGCGGUAAUACGAAGGGGGCUAGCGUUGUUCGGAAUCACUGGGCGUAAAGGGUGCGUAGGCGGGCAUUUAAGUCAGGGGUGAAAUCCCGAGGCUCAACCUCGGAACUGCCCUUGAUACUGGAUGUCUUGAGUCCGGAAGAGGUGAGUGGAACUGCGAGUGUAGAGGUGAAAUUCGUAGAUAUUCGGAGGAACACCAGUGGCGAAGGCGGCUCACUGGCUCGAUACUGACGCUGAGGUGCGAAAGCGUGGGGAGCAAACAGGAUUAGAUACCCCUGUAGUCCCUGUCUCUUAUAC